AGUGAACGCUGGCGGUAGGCCUAACACAUGCAAGUCGAACGGCAGCACGGGAGAGCUUGCUCUCUGGGUGGCGAGUGGCGGACGGGUGAGGAAUACAUCGGAAUCUACUUUUUCGUGGGGGAUAACGUAGGGAAACUUACGCUAAUACCGCAUACGACCUACGGGUGAAAGCAGGGGAUCUUCGGACCUUGCGCGAUUGAAUGAGCCGAUGUCGGAUUAGCUAGUUGGCGGGGUAAAGGCCCACCAAGGCGACGAUCCGUAGCUGGUCUGGGAGGAUGAUCAGCCACACUGGAACUGAGACACGGUCCAGACUCCUACGGGAGGCAGCAGUGGGGGAUAUUGGACAAUGGGCGCAAGCCUGAUCCAGCCAUACCGCGUGGGUGAAGAAGGCCUUCGGGUUGUAAAGCCCUUUUGUUGGGAAAGAAAUCCAGCUGGUUAAUACCCGGUUGGGAUGACGGUACCCAAAGAAUAAGCACCGGCUAACUUCGUGACAGCCGCCGCAGUAA
rnacentral:rRNA from 1 species